GGAUGGAAGGUUAUGUGGCCUCAACAUCAGUCACCCCGUUGAUUGCCAGGGCUCAUUCUGCCAAUCUGUGUAGGCACCCUUUCAUGUCACUGCUGCAUGUACUUCCUUCCUAAAAUGGCCUGCUUGAUGGAGCACACUGACCUUCCCAUACAGAGGAAGACACUUCUUCAGUCAGCGGUGCCUAAGUGUUUGUGCCCCCUGCUAGAACCUUCAAGUAAACUCUAGAGAUGCCUGUGCAGAACAGUGUAGCUAAGGAAAGUUUCCAGGAUACUAGACACGAGCAAUGCAGACACUGAACUGAGGCAGCCUGCCUGUCAAA
rfam:Equus caballus chromosome 29, whole genome shotgun sequence.